rnacentral:lncRNA from 1 species
CAGGUUGAUCUACAAGAUAACAAUCGAAUCGAAUAAUGAUCAAAUUGAAAGGAAAAAAAAAAGGAUUAAAUUAAAUAAUCAAACAAUUAAGAAAAUUAACAAUUAAAACAACAAAAAUAAAGCUAAUAAAAAUUACAAGAAAAAGAAAACCGAAGAAAUAGAGAAAUUCUUGAAAUGGAACCCUAACCUUUUGGUAGAUUUGGGAUCGAAGAAGAGAGAGAAAGAAAUUGAAAUGAGUGUUGUAAGUGUUGAUUUUUUUUUCUCUCUCUCUCUCUUCUAUUUUUUUUUUGUGUUUGAAAACUUUCUUUCUUUCUUCUCUUUGUUUUGCCAACGAAAGCUCUUUGGUGGUGAUUGGUGGCGACGUGGGUAAUGGUUAUUGGGGUGUGAGGUUUAUUGUUGAAUUUACUAUAUUGUCCUUUUUGGUGAUGCUGUUGGCGGUUUUGCCAGGUAGAAAUGUUUGGAAGGUAUGGGUAUGAUGGUCCACCUAAAUAUUUUAUGGAGUGUUUGUUACGUUAAAUUAAAUUAAGUGGAAGAUUUGGUGAGGGGGUAAGGUUUGUA